rnacentral:tRNA from 1 species
GGAGUAUUGGCGUAAUGGUAUCGCAGCGGCUUGCUAAGCCGUCCAACAGCAAUGUUGUGGGAGUUCGAUUCUCUCAUACUCCGCUA